UUCAUUCGUCCCGCCAGAGACAUUCAGCAAUGGGCUGUUUUGUAUCCAUUACAAACGAGCAAUGUGAAAGUCUAGGAUUGGGGAGAGCGCCUAGUAUGCCUCUAGUGCAUAAGCAUGAAGUUGAACAUUUAGAUGAAA